rnacentral:rRNA from 1 species
GACGAACGCUGGCGGCGUGCUUAACACAUGCAAGUCGAACGAGAGCGUAGAGAAAGCUUGCUUUUUCUACAAUCUAGUGGCAAACGGGUGAGUAACGCGUAAACAACCUGCCCUACGGAUGGGGACAACAGCUGGAAACGGCUGCUAAUACCGAAUACGUUCCGAAAGUCGCAUGACUAUCGGAAGAAAGGAUGGCCUCUAUUUAUAAGCUAUCGCCGGAGGAGGGGUUUGCGUCUGAUUAGCUAGUUGGAGGGGUAACGGCCCACCAAGGCGACGAUCAGUAGCCGGUCGGAGAGGAUGAACGGCCACAUUGGAACUGAGACACGGUCCAGACUCCUACGGGAGGCAGCAGUGGGGAAUCUUCCGCAAUGGGUGAAAGCCUGACGGAGCAACGCCGCGUGAGUGAAGACGGCCUUCGGGUUGUAAAGCUCUGUUAUACGGGACGAAUAAUCUUGUGGUUAAUACCCAUGAGAAGUGACGGUACCGUAAGAGAAAGCCACGGCUAACUACGUG